AACGAACGCUGGCGGCGUGCUUAACACAUGCAAGUCGAGCGGAAAGGCCACUUCGGUGGUACUCGAGCGGCGAACGGGUGAGUAACACGUGAGUAAUCUGCCCCUGGCUUUGGGAUAGCCACCGGAAACGGUGAUUAAUACCGGAUACGACAACUUCUCGCAUGGGAUGGUUGUGGAAAGUUUUUCGGCCAGGGAUGUGCUCGCGGCCUAUCAGCUUGAUGGUGAGGUAAUGGCUCACCAUGGCUUCGACGGGUAGCCGGCCUGAGAGGGUGACCGGUAACAGUGGGACUGAGACACGGCCAAGUCUCCGACGGGAGGCAGAAGUGGGGAAUAUUGGACAAUGGGCGGAAGCCUGAUCCAGCAACGCGGCGUGAGGGAUGACGGCCUUCGGGUUGUAAACCUCUUUCGCCUGGGACGAAGCGCAAGUGACGGUAACAGGUAAAGAAGCACCGGCCAACUACGUGCCAGCAGCCGCCGUAACAC
rnacentral:rRNA from 1 species